GGUUAAGCGACUAAGCGUACACGGUGGAUGCCCUGGCAGUCAGAGGCGAUGAAGGACGUGCUAAUCUGCGAUAAGCGCCGGUAAGGUGAUAUGAACCGUUAUAACCGGCGAUUUCCGAAUGGGGAAACCCAGUGUGAUUCGUCACACUAUCAUUAACUGAAUCCAUAGGUUAAUGAGGCGAACCGGGGGAACUGAAACAUCUAAGUACCCCGAGGAAAAGAAAUCAACCGAGAUUCCCCCAGUAGCGGCGAGCGAACGGGGAGGAGCCCAGAGCCUGAAUCAGCAUGUGUGUUAGUGGAAGCGUCUGGAAAGGCGCGCGAUACAGGGUGACAGCCCCGUACACAAAAGCGCAUGUGCUGUGAGCUCGAUGAGUAGGGCGGGACACGUGGUAUCCUGUCUGAAUAUGGGGGGACCAUCCUCCAAGGCUAAAUACUCCUGACUGACCGAUAGUGAACCAGUACCGUGAGGGAAAGGCGAAAAGAACCCCGGCGAGGGGAGUGAAAAAGAACCUGAAACCGUGUACGUACAAGCAGUGGGAGCACAGGUUUACCUGUGUGACUGCGUACCUUUUGUAUAAUGGGUCAGCGACUUAUAUUCUGUAGCAAGGUUAACCGAAUAGGGGAGCCGGAGGGAAACCGAGUCUUAAUUGGGCGUUAAGUUGCAGGGUAUAGACCCGAAACCCGGUGAUCUAGCCAUGGGCAGGUUGAAGGUUGGGUAACACUAACUGGAGGACCGAACCGACUAAUGUUGAAAAAUUAGCGGAUGACCUGUGGCUGGGGGUGAAAGGCCAAUCAAACCGGGAGAUAGCUGGUUCUCCCCGAAAGCUAUUUAGGUAGCGCCUCGUGAAUUCAUCUCCGGGGGUAGAGCACUGUUUCGGCUAGGGGGCCAUCCCGGCUUACCAACCCGAUGCAAACUGCGAAUACCGGAGAAUGUUAUCACGGGAGACACACGGCGGGUGCUAACGUCCGUCGUGAAGAGGGAAACAACCCAGACCGCCAGCUAAGGUCCCAAAGUCAUGGUUAAGUGGGAAACGAUGUGGGAAGGCCCAGACAGCCAGGAUGUUGGCUUAGAAGCAGCCAUCAUUUAAAGAAAGCGUAAUAGCUCACUGGUCGAGUCGGCCUGCGCGGAAGAUGUAACGGGGCUAAACCAUGCACCGAAGCUGCGGCAGCGACACUGUGUGUUGUUGGGUAGGGGAGCGUUCUGUAAGCCUGUGAAGGUGUGUCGUGAGGCAUGCUGGAGGUAUCAGAAGUGCGAAUGCUGACAUAAGUAACGAUAAAGCGGGUGAAAAGCCCGCUCGCCGGAAGACCAAGGGUUCCUGUCCAACGUUAAUCGGGGCAGGGUGAGUCGACCCCUAAGGCGAGGCCGAAAGGCGUAGUCGAUGGGAAACAGGUUAAUAUUCCUGUACUUGGUGUUACUGCGAAGGGGGGACGGAGAAGGCUAUGUUGGCCGGGCGACGGUUGUCCCGGUUUAAGCGUGUAGGCUGGUUUUCCAGGCAAAUCCGGAAAAUCAAGGCUGAGGCGUGAUGACGAGGCACUACGGUGCUGAAGCAACAAAUGCCCUGCUUCCAGGAAAAGCCUCUAAGCAUCAGGUAACAUCAAAUCGUACCCCAAACCGACACAGGUGGUCAGGUAGAGAAUACCAAGGCGCUUGAGAGAACUCGGGUGAAGGAACUAGGCAAAAUGGUGCCGUAACUUCGGGAGAAGGCACGCUGACACGUAGGUGAAGUGAUUUACUCACGGAGCUGAAGUCAGUCGAAGAUACCAGCUGGCUGCAACUGUUUAUUAAAAACACAGCACUGUGCAAACACGAAAGUGGACGUAUACGGUGUGACGCCUGCCCGGUGCCGGAAGGUUAAUUGAUGGGGUCAGCGCAAGCGAAGCUCCUGAUCGAAGCCCCGGUAAACGGCGGCCGUAACUAUAACGGUCCUAAGGUAGCGAAAUUCCUUGUCGGGUAAGUUCCGACCUGCACGAAUGGCGUAAUGAUGGCCAGGCUGUCUCCACCCGAGACUCAGUGAAAUUGAACUCGCUGUGAAGAUGCAGUGUACCCGCGGCAAGACGGAAAGACCCCGUGAACCUUUACUAUAGCUUGACACUGAACAUUGAGCCUUGAUGUGUAGGAUAGGUGGGAGGCUUUGAAGCGUGGACGCCAGUCUGCGUGGAGCCGACCUUGAAAUACCACCCUUUAAUGUUUGAUGUUCUAACGUGGACCCGUAAUCCGGGUUGCGGACAGUGUCUGGUGGGUAGUUUGACUGGGGCGGUCUCCUCCUAAAGAGUAACGGAGGAGCACGAAGGUUGGCUAAUCCUGGUCGGACAUCAGGAGGUUAGUGCAAUGGCAUAAGCCAGCUUGACUGCGAGCGUGACGGCGCGAGCAGGUGCGAAAGCAGGUCAUAGUGAUCCGGUGGUUCUGAAUGGAAGGGCCAUCGCUCAACGGAUAAAAGGUACUCCGGGGAUAACAGGCUGAUACCGCCCAAGAGUUCAUAUCGACGGCGGUGUUUGGCACCUCGAUGUCGGCUCAUCACAUCCUGGGGCUGAAGUAGGUCCCAAGGGUAUGGCUGUUCGCCAUUUAAAGUGGUACGCGAGCUGGGUUUAGAACGUCGUGAGACAGUUCGGUCCCUAUCUGCCGUGGGCGCUGGAGAACUGAGGGGGGCUGCUCCUAGUACGAGAGGACCGGAGUGGACGCAUCACUGGUGUUCGGGUUGUCAUGCCAAUGGCACUGCCCGGUAGCUAAAUGCGGAAGAGAUAAGUGCUGAAAGCAUCUAAGCACGAAACUUGCCCCGAGAUGAGUUCUCCCUGAGACUUUAAGUCUCCUGAAGGAACGUUGAAGACGACGACGUUGAUAGGCCGGGUGUGUAAGCGCAGCGAUGCGUUGAGCUAACCGGUACUAAUGAACCGUGAGGCUUAACCUU
rnacentral:rRNA from 1 species